AGUGAACGCUGGCGGUAGGCCUAACACAUGCCAGUCGAACGGCAGCACAGUAAGAGCUUGCUCUUACGGGUGGCGAGUGGCGGACGGGUGAGGAAUACAUCGGAAUCUACUUUUUCGUGGGGGAUAACGUAGGGAAACUUACGCUAAUACCGCAUACGACCUACGGGUGAAAGCAGGGGAUCUUCGGACCUUGCGCGAUUGAAUGAGCCGAUGUCGGAUUAGCUAGUUGGCGGGGUAAAGGCCCACCAGGCGACGAUUCGUAGCUGGUCUGAGAGGAUGAUCAGCCACACUGGAACUGAGACACGGUCCAGACUCCUACGGGAGGCAGCAGUGGGGAAUAUUGGACAAUGGGCGCAAGCCUGAUCCAGCCAUACCGCGUGGGUGAAGAAGGCCUUCGGGUUGUAAAGCCCUUUUGUUGGGAAAGAAAAGCAGCAGGUUAAUACCCCGCUGUUCUGACGGUACCCAAAGAAUAAGCACCGGCUAACUUCGUG
rnacentral:rRNA from 1 species